rnacentral:rRNA from 1 species
AUAAGUGGCGGACGGGUGAGUAACGCGUGGGAAUCUACCCAGUAGUGGGGGACAACUACCGGAAACGGUAGCUAAUACCGCAUACGCCCUAUGGGGGAAAGGCUUCGGCCGCUAUUGGAUGAGCCCGCGUCAGAUUAGCUAGUUGGUAGGGUAAAGGCCUACCAAGGCAACGAUCUGUAGCUGGUCUGAGAGGACGAACAGCCACACUGGGACUGAGACACGGCCCAGACUCCUACGGGAGGCAGCAGUGGGGAAUAUUGGACAAUGGGCGAAAGCCUGAUCCAGCAAUGCCGCGUGUGUGAAGAAGGCCUGCGGGUUGUAAAGCACUUUCAGUUGGGAAGAUGAUGACGUUACCAACAGAAGAAGCACCGGCUAAAUCCGUGCCAGCAGCCGCGGUAAUACGGAUGGUGCGAGCGUUAAUCGGAAUUACUGGGCGUAAAGCGCGCGUAGACGGCUAAGUCAGUCAGAGGUGAAAGCCCCGGGCUCAACCUGGGAAUUGCUUUUGAUACUGCUUAGCUAGAGUUUGGUAGAGGAUAGUGGAAUUCCAGGUGUAGCGGUGAAAUGCGUAGAUAUCUGGAGGAACAUCAGUGGCGAAGGCGACUGUCUGGACCAAAACUGACGCUGAGGUGCGAAAGCGUGGGUAGCAAACAGGAUUAGAUACCCUGGUAG